rnacentral:lncRNA from 1 species
GGGAAGAUAACUCUUGAAACAACUUACUUGUACUACUGAAACAUUGGUAUAUCAUUUGGUGCAUGAUUAUGGAGGUAAAGAACUACGUGUGGCUUAAUCCCUUAACAAGGGUACGUAGGUAGCUUGGGGUCCCACCCAGGUGCAGCCGCUGACUAAAAUUUACUUAUGUUGUUUGAUUGUGUUGGAUUGUUAAAUGACAGGACCCGACCCAAAUUCCACUUAGGAAUCCGAGCCGAGCCCUAUGCAUGUUCGACACUUGACAGGUGCCAGGCACAAAGACUAAUUUGCCCUUCUAAUCAAAACUUAGCUUCAUUUUAGGUUUGACUAAAAUGAACAUUCUCAAAUUUACACCUGUCAACAAGCACUUAAAAAUAUACACCAACAGUUAAAUACGUCCUAGGGCAACAUCAGAGCAACUAUACAGAGUAAGGUACAAGUGUAAUUUUAUUAUACGAAGCCCUACAUCAACAAGGGAUGAGGUGAAAUGUGGACUCUGCCAGGUAGUGGCUCACUGUGCACGCUUUCUGCCUAGGGGCACAAAACAUUGAAAAUAUGAGUGGACCAAAAAUAAAGUUUAGAAAAUAACAUAUUAACAUACUAACCCCACUGUAAAAACAGUUAUGCAAAACUAAAACAUUCUUUUCAUUAUAUUCGUAUUGAGGUCAAUGUGUUCAUAUAUUUAUGUACAUAUACCAAUCAUACUCAUGGUCAAUAAAAUCUCUUAAAAGCACUGAAAUCAAUUUAAAACUACCACCUAGGUGUACCUCUUUAUUUCCG